rnacentral:snoRNA from 1 species
AAGACUGUACUUACAGGGAUCAUUUCUGAAGUUCGUUACUAGAGAAGGUUCUCUGAACUACGUGUAAGGCACCAAAAGCCAUCAGGAGGAGGCACAGGGUUCUCUCCUGAGCAUGAAGUCGGCUGUAGGCAUUGCUUUCUUGCAACUACCUUUUGCUAUUGAUCUUCUCUUCCAUUUGGGGAGAGUAAGAGAGAGAGAAUGCUGUCUGAGUGGU